rnacentral:lncRNA from 10 species
CAUCUGCCUCCUGGUACCUUGGGCCUGCAUGUCUGGCAGGCAGGUAGAAGAACACGCUGGCCAUUUCAAUGUUAAGACAAAGAGGUAGAGAAGGCUGGAUGAAGGAGGUGAUGACUGAACCAUAUCCUGAGGCAGCUGGGGUUUCCAGGAAGAGGACAGAGAGAAGGACAUUCAGGUGGAGGAGCCAGCAGGUGUGACAACCAGUGCACAGAGAGAUU